rnacentral:rRNA from 1 species
AACGAACGCUGGCGGCGUGCCUAAUACAUGCAAGUCGAACGCUUCUUUCCUCCCGAGUGCUUGCACUCAAUUGGAAAGAGGAGUGGCGGACGGGUGAGUAACACGUGGGUAACCUACCCAUCAGAGAGGGAUAACACUUGGAAACAGGUGCUAAUACCGCAUAACAGUUUAUGCCGCAUGGCAUAAGAGUGAAAGGCGCUUUCGGGUGUCGCUGAUGGAUGGACCCGCGGUGCAUUAGCUAGUUGGUGAGGUAACGGCUCACCAAGGCCACGAUGCAUAGCCGACCUGAGAGGGUGAUCGGCCACACUGGGACUGAGACACGGCCCAGACUCCUACGGGAGGCAGCAGUAGGGAAUCUUCGGCAAUGGACGAAAGUCUGACCGAGCAACGCCGCGUGAGUGAAGAAGGUGUUCGGAUCGUAAAACUCUGUUGUUAGAGAAGAACAAGGACGUUAGUAACUGAACGUCCCCUGACGGUAUCUAACCAGAAAGCCACGGCUAACUACGUG